rnacentral:tRNA from 1 species
GGUAGACUGGCUCAGUGGUUAGAGUGAAGGUCUCGUAAACGAAAGAUUUUGGGAUCGAAUCCCGCUAGAGACUG